rnacentral:lncRNA from 1 species
UCAGGCCCCUCAAUUCUUUUUUGUCUCUGGGAAGAAGAGCAAACCAGCAUUGGAAGGAAGAGAAAGGAAUUUCUUGAAAGGCAGAAAAGCCACAGAAAAAAGAGCCCAUAGUAUGUGGAAGACAUGACUGACCACUCACCACCAGAUCUUCAGCAAUCUAAGAAAUGGGGCUGUAUCUUGCAUGAACCUAAGGGAAGAAAAACUGGCUGGAAUUUUGUAUAACAGUUUUGUUUUAUGAACCAGCACUACCUUACCCAACCAUUUUACUGUAAGUUGUUUUCUUUCUUUUUCUUUUGGAGUUGGACUCCUUUUUAUUAGGUGAGAUGCUGAGAUGUUCGGGGCCUGUGGCCCUGCUCCAGGUGCUAGGCUGGAAACGCAUCAUGUGUUCUGGCCAGAAGACUUCCUGAGGGGUUGAAGAAGG